GCUGCACCGUGCCACCGAGCCUCACCCGACCAGUUGACCACCACGGUGCCCCCGACCUGACGCUUCUCCCUCUCCCUCCCCAACGCAUCGGGCAACCCACCCCUUCCAACCCUCUCCCACUGAUUCGCUCGCCGCGCCCGCGCGAGAUCCAGCCGCGCCCCCCGCCGAGAUCUCCCGGCGGAUCACUAGGACGGCGCCGCC
rnacentral:rRNA from 1 species